rnacentral:rRNA from 1 species
UACAGAGGUCUCAAGCGUUGUUCGGAUUCAUUGGGCGUAAAGGGUGCGUAGGCGGCGCGGUAAGUCGGGUGUGAAAUUUCGGAGCUUAACUCCGAAACUGCAUUCGAUACUGCGGUGCUUGAGGACUGGAGAGGAGACUGGAAUUUACGGUGUAGCAGUGAAAUGCGUAGAUAUCGUAAGGAAGACCAGUGGCGAAGGCGGGUCUCUGGACAGUUCCUGACACUGAGACACGAAGGCCAGGGGAGCAAACGGG